UACGUAGGGGGCAAGCGUUGUCCGGAAUCAUUGGGCGUAAAGAGCGUGUAGGCGGCUCGAUAAGUCCGCUGUGAAAGUCCAGGGCUCAACCCUGGAAGGCCGGUGGAAACUGUCGGGCUAGAGUCCGGAAGAGGCGAGUGGAAUUCCUGGUGUAGCGGUGGAAUGCGCAGAUAUCAGGAGGAACACCGAUGGCGAAGGCAGAUCUCUGGGCCGUAACUGACGCUGAGGAGCGAAAGCAUGGGGAGCGAACAGG
rnacentral:rRNA from 1 species